GCACCUGGGUGAAGGAGAUGUUUGGUGGUGGCAUGCCGAGAUGGUUUGACGUGUGUUGGGUUUUUUUUUUUUUUUUUUUUGAUUGUGACACUUUUGGAGUCAUCAACUUUUAUUUGACCCAUAAAAUAAAACCUAAACUGUCUACACGAAGUGGACAGAAGGCAGCAGAGGCCUGCCAGCCGGGAACGUGGAGGGUGGAGUUCAGUCCUGCAGCUGCAGGUUAUCCUCAAUUCAAGUUGUGCCCUGAAAAUGCCAAAACCACCAGUACCUAGUUGAGCAGACAUAAGAGAGCUGAGACAGGAAGACAUGCUGCCUGGCAUCAUCCUUCCCAUCCCCGACUCUGAGACAGAGAGAUUACAGGGCAGGCGCUCCUCUCCUGACAAAGCGUCCAUCAGGUAGGCCUUGGUGGCUCGUGGUUGCUGUUGGUAGGUUAACAGAGGGUCU